UUUUACUUUUUGCUUAUGUUUAGCCAGAACAUGCUGUGUCUUCUGAAGUUAUUUCUAGAAGCCCUUCUGAGCUAUUGUCAAAUGUUCUUCAUAAAGCAUCUUCUUCGAUGGUCUCAGGAACUUGUGAACAUUGAGUUGAUAUCUUCGAUGUGUAAAUGCAGCACAUACUGGAAAACUGAGGACGAAGGAGGGAUGGGCGGCUUUGCAGUAUACCAGAAAUAGAGAGGUGAAGCUCAGGUCUACUUGCAUGAUAAAAUUUUAUCCCACCUUAUUAAAAGAAAGGUUGAACCCCAACCUUUAGGUCUUCUACCGCCCCGCCCAUGGAGCAUUGUGAGAUAGGUUAAUCACGAGAUGUGUCCCAGCAGGUCA